rnacentral:rRNA from 1 species
UACGGAGAGGGCAAGCGUUGUUCGGAUUUACUGGGCAUAAAGCGCACGUAGGCGGGCUCACGAGUCGGUUGUGAAAUCCUGGGGCUCAACCCCAGAACUGCAUCCGAUACUAUGAGUCUAGAGGAUGAAAGGGGAGAGUGGAACUUCUGGUGGAGCGGUGAAAUGCGUAGAUAUCAGAAGGAACACCGGUGGCGAAAGCGACUCUCUGGUUCAUAUCUGACGCUGAGGUGCGAAAGCUAGGGGAGCAAACGGG